UACGGAGGGUGCAAGCGUUAUCCGGAAUCACUGGGUUUAAAGGGUGCGUAGGCGGAUAUUUAAGUAAGUGGUGAAAUCUUGUCGCUUAACGAUAAAAUUGCCAUUGAUACUGAAUGUCUUGAAUUGGGUUGAGGUUAGCGGAAUGUGACAUGUAGCGGUGAAAUGCAUAGAUAUGUCAUGGAACACCAAUUGCGAAGGCAGCUAGCUGGGCCUUGAUUGACGCUGAGGCACGAAAGCGUGGGUAGCGAACAGGAUUAGAUACCCUGGUAGUCCACGCCGUAAACGAUGAUCACUCGCUGUUGGCGAUACACAGUCAGCGGCUAAGCAAAAGCAUUAAGUGAUCCACCUGGGGAGUACGGCCGCAAGGCUGAA
rnacentral:rRNA from 1 species